rnacentral:lncRNA from 1 species
AAAGACAAUCCAAAAUCAGUCGAUCCAUCUGCUGAUCAUUCUGCAGAAGAAGGGUCUUCUUAUUUCAUUCUUAGUGGUUCAGAAACGCAUUGAAUUCGCUGUAUCAAGCCACAUUCAUAAGUUUCGGAACUAAUAUGUAUGACAUUGUUUACCAGGAACUCCUGCAACGGAACAACUAUAGUAUAAACCUUUUACCACCAUUCAUUGUUUCCCCAAAUAUUGAUGCAUGUAUCUGCGUCUCUUGGUCCAAUCAACAACCACGCUGAUUUAAAAUGAAAGCAAGCUUCAAAACAAUCUCCUCCAAGCAAAAGGGUUAGAAGUAAUUGAUAUGUCCUGUGUCCUUCCAGCAAGACAAUCCUCAAUGCUGCAUCAUAAAACCCACAUAUUAUCACCAAUUAAACUUGUUCAAGCUUUAAAUAAAUAUGGCAACCUCCCUUAAUUUCAAAAGGGCAAUAGAGAGAGAUGCAAUUGAAAUAUGAGUGAACCACUGGUGCAGGUAAGGAUCAGGCGCCCAACCAAAACACUGUGUCCUGAGUUGGGCUUAUCUUGAUGUGAUGGCAGGAAGGGUAAGAGAGGGCGUAUAAACCUUUGGGGACAAAUUAAAUAAAAAGGAGAAACUCACAAAUCAAACCAAAUAGCAAACUCAAACAAGUCUUUUCACCACUUGAAGUUUAAACCAAACAGAAAGAGUAAAACCAUCAUCAUCAUGAACAACCUAAAAAAGCCCUAAACUCAGUUUUUAAGGAAGAUUUUGUUAUAGAAAGUAUUUGAAAAUUAUAAUCAUAUAUUAUAUAAUGGAUAAUGGUUGGGGGCCUUGGUUUGCACUGACUUCAACAUGCCUGAGUUGGAGACCUGAUUAGUCAUAGUUAAAGGAAAAUUCUUUCUCCCUGAAUAGUUAUAGUUCUAUUCCAUAUAUUAUUAGAUUUAUAGAGGAAAAGUUCAAAGAUUAGGACCUUGAUUAAACCUCCAUGAAA